rnacentral:rRNA from 1 species
AUGGCAAGCCAUUGGUUCUUCUUCCUCUCACUCUGCCUCCUCCCCGUAGCCGUUUCUUCCAUAGAUGUGGAGCCCCCUUUAGAUUCCCCCCACCUCCAAAACCAGGCUCUAAUCUUCGGCGAAGUGUGCACCACCAAGGACUGCCGCGAGGUGCUCCGUAGGGUUGGCGAUGAAACUUGCAUCAUCAGCUACAUGUGUGCCUCCAUUGGCUAG